UAAUACGUAGGGUGCGAGCGUUGUCCGGAAUUACUGGGCGUAAAGAGCUCGUAGGUGGUUUGUCGCGUUGUUCGUGAAAACCGAAGGCUUAACCUUUGGCGUGCGGGCGAUACGGGCAGACUGGAGUACUGCAGGGGAGACUGGAAUUCCUGGUGUAGCGGUGGAAUGCGCAGAUAUCAGGAGGAACACCGGUGGCGAAGGCGGGUCUCUGGGCAGUAACUGACGCUGAGGAGCGAAAGCGUGGGGAGCGAACAGGAUUA
rnacentral:rRNA from 1 species